GUGCGUGUGUGCGCGUGUGCGCGUGUGUGCGCGCGUGCGUGUGUGCAGGAGGUCAUGUACAGGAACUACAGGAGCAUCAGACUGAAGCCGGAUCAGUUCAGCUCUUUCCUGACGGCUGAGGUGGGCUUCAGCAGCUACGAGCUGAUCGGGACUAAAGGACUUCAGAGGUCGAUUUAUCUGUUCCAUAAAGGCCCCGCCUCCAACAGGAAGUGAGUCUCAGGAAGCGGGCCGGCCGGCGUUGGAAUCAUCAUGUGAUCUUCUGCUUUAACACAAACACACGUGGUUUUGUAGCGUUGUGCUUCUAAGGUUUGUUUCUUCCUGUGCCCUGCGGAGGGAGGGCUGGACUACUUCCUGUCUGCUCCGUUUUUAACCGAUAUGCUGCAGCGGUGACUGUUUGACCUCUGACCUCCGACGGGCCGUGAUUGGUGGCUGGGCGUCAGUGUGUUCUGUGUGACACAGACUGAGGUUCAUAUCUGAUGCGUCUGAUCUGAGACGCUUCCACGUGUCAAUAAAUCUGAUGUGCUUCUCA